CUUAGGAAUCUGCCUAUUAGUGGGGGACAACAUUUCGAAAGGAAUGCUAAUACCGCAUACGUCCUACGGGAGAAAGCAGGGGAUCUUCGGACCUUGCGCUAAUAGAUGAGCCUAAGUCGGAUUAGCUAGUUGGUGGGGUAAAGGCCUACCCAAGGCGACGAUCUGUAGCGGGUCUGAGAGGAUGAUCCGCCACACUGGGACUGAGACACGGCCCAGACUCCUACGGGAGGCAGCAGUGGGGAAUAUUGGACAAUGGGCGCAAGCCUGAUCCAGCCAUGCCGCGUGUGUGAAGAAGGCCUUAUGGUUGUAAAGCACUUUAAGCGAGGAGGAGGCUACUUUAGUUAAUACCUAGAGAUAGUGGACGUUACUCGCAGAAUAAGCACCGGCUAACUCUGUGCCAGCAGCCGCGGUAAUACAGAGGGUGCAAGCGUUAAUCGGAUUUACUGGGCGUAAAGCGCGCGUAGGCGGCUAAUUAAGUCAAAUGUGAAAUCCCCGAGCUUAACUUGGGAAUUGCAUUCGAUACUGGUUAGCUAGAGUGUGGGAGAGGAUGGUAGAAUUCCAGGUGUAGCGGUGAAAUGCGUAGAGAUCUGGAGGAAUACCGAUGGCGAAGGCAGCCAUCUGGCCUAACACUGACGCUGAGGUGCGAAAGCAUGGGGAGCAAACAGGAUUAGA
rnacentral:rRNA from 1 species